GGGGAUGCACAGGCAUCGACAGGGAAAUACCCUAGUUCGCUGGCAAGUCGGAGAUUUGCCCCGCAAAGCAGGGGCUCGAACUUUACUCCGUUAUCAAAGUUCAAGCCAAAAUUUAACUGGCAAAAACAAACUAGUAGCUAUGCUAUCUAGCGCAUUCGGUAAGAUCCGAAAUGGCCUUAUGGCUCUUUCAGACUCAAUUGCCGGUCUUGUCGCUCAGCCAGCAUAUGCUUUCGCAGUAAGCUAGUCUUUUAAGACUCUUCUGUGAAGACUUUGGGAAUAACUGGCCUAAUCGAGUUAUCCUAAGUCCAUUAAAUAGAUUAGGCGCAAAGUUUUGUUUUAGUUUAGGACAAAACUCCAAGUAUUUCUAAACUGGGAGCUUAUUGUUUUUUGUUUAUUUUUGAUAAUAAGCUGACCUUAAAAGCAAAAUAAACCAAACUUGUGGAAACUAGCCUUCUAGUAAUUCCAUUGGACGCGGGUUCGAUUCCCGCCAUCUCCACCA
rnacentral:tmRNA from 1 species